GGAAAAUUAUGAGCAGCCAGGAUUCCAAACAGAUGAAUAAGGCGUUUCCCCACAAUCUGCCUCGAGGUUCAACCAUUGCUGAGAAGGGUACUUUUCUCAACUUUGUACUUUGAAGGAGGCAUUACCACAGCACCGUCUGCUUGCGUUUUAAAUGCAGACACAGAAUAAUAUCAGGACAGAAUGCAUGACCCUAAAAUGACAAUAUAAUAAAAUAUGCAAGAUCAGCUCCAACUCUCUUUAGAUGCUUGAUGACCAGGUGCUAA